ACUCCUGCGGGAGGCAGCAGUGGGGAAUUUUGGACAAUGGGGGCAACCCUGAUCCAGCAAUGCCGCGUGAGUGAAGAAGGCCUUCGGGUUGUAAAGCUCUUUUGUCAGGGAAGAAACGGUGGUGGCGAAUAACUACUACUAAUGACGGUACCUGAAGAAUAAGCACCGGCUAACUACGUGCCAGCAGCCGCGGUAAUACGUAGGGUGCAAGCGUUAAUCGGAAUUACUGGGCGUAAAGCGUGCGCAGGCGGUUGUGUAAGUCAGAUGUGAAAUCCCCGGGCUCAACCUGGGAAUUGCAUUUGAGACUGCACGGCUAGAGUGUGUCAGAGGGGGGUAGAAUUCCACGUGUAGCAGUGAAAUGCGUAGAUAUGUGGAGGAAUACCGAUGGCGAAGGCAGCCCCCUGGGAUAACACUGACGCUCAUGCACGAAAGCGUGGGGAGCAAACAGGAUUAGAAACCCGGGUAGUCCCAUGAU
rnacentral:rRNA from 1 species